rnacentral:rRNA from 1 species
CAAUAGCGUAUAUUAAAGUUGUUGCGGUAAAAAAGCUCGUAGUUGGAUUUCUACCGAAGAUAGCCGGUCGGGUCUUCGACCUUGUAUCUGGUUUUGUCUUUGGUAUCCUCAUAGGGAACGUUUCUGCGCUUUAUUGCGUGGUGCGGUAUCUAUGACUUUUACUUUGAGGAAAUUAGAGUGUUCACGGCAGGCAAACGCCUUGAAUAUAUUAGCAUGGAAUAAUAACAUAGGAUCUUCGUCCUAUUUUGUUGGUUUCUAGGGCUAAGAUAAUGAUUAGUAGGGAUAAUUGGGGGCAUCUGUAUCAACGCGUCAGAGGUGGAAUUCUUGGAUUGCGUUGCGACAAACUACUGCGAAAGCAUUUGCCAAGGAUGUUUUCAUUGA